AAAAUUGAUAAAACUUUCAACAACGGAUCUNUUGGCUCUGGCAUCNAUGAAGAACGCAGCGAAAUGCAAUAAGUAAUGUGAAUUGCANAAUUUANNGAAUCAUCCGAAUCUUUGAACGCACAUUGCGCCCCUUGGUAUUCCGAGGGGCAUGCCUGUUCGAGCCGUCAUAAC
rnacentral:rRNA from 1 species